GGUCGUAUGGUGUAGUCGGUUAUCACGUCUGCUUUACACGCAGAAGGUCGCCGGUUCGAACCCGGCUAUGGCCA
rfam:Strongyloides papillosus strain LIN genome assembly, scaffold: SPAL_contig0001722